rnacentral:rRNA from 1 species
GACGAACGUUGGCGGCGUGCUUAACACAUGCAAGUCGAACGGAAAGGCCCUGCUUUUGUGGGGUGCUCGAGUGGCGAACGGGUGAGUAACACGUGAGUAACCUGCCCUUGACUUUGGGAUAACUUCAGGAAACUGGGGCUAAUACCGGAUAGGAGCUCCUGCUGCAUGGUGGGGGUUGGAAAGUUUCGGCGGUUGGGGAUGGACUCGCGGCUUAUCAGCUUGUUGGUGGGGUAGUGGCUUACCAAGGCUUUGACGGGUAGCCGGCCUGAGAGGGUGACCGGCCACAUUGGGACUGAGAUACGGCCCAGACUCCUACGGGAGGCAGCAGUGGGGAAUAUUGCACAAUGGGCGGAAGCCUGAUGCAGCAACGCCGCGUGCGGGAUGACGGCCUUCGGGUUGUAAACCGCUUUCGCCUGUGACGAAGCGUGAGUGACGGUAAUGGGUAAAGAAGCACCGGCUAACUACGUGCCAGCAGCCGCGGUGAUACGUAGGGUGCGAGCGUUGUCCGGAUUUAUUGGGCGUAAAGGGCUCGUAGGUGGUUGAUCGCGUCGGAAGUGUAAUCUUGGGGCUUAACCCUGAGCGUGCUUUCGAUACGGGUUGACUUGAGGAAGGUAGGGGAGAAUGGAAUUCCUGGUGGAGCGGUGGAAUGCGCAGAUAUCAGGAGGAACACCAGUGGCGAAGGCGGUUCCCUGGGCCUUUCCUGACGCUGAGGAGCGAAAGCGUGGGGAGCGAACAGGCUUAGAUACCCUGGUAGUCCACGCUGUAAACGGUGGGUACUAGGUGUGGGGUCCAUUCCACGGGUUCCGUGCCGUAGCUAACGCUUUAAGUACCCCGCCUGGGGAGUACGGCCGCAAGGCUAAAACUCAAAGGAAUUGACGGGGCCCCGCACAAGCGGCGGAGCAUGCGGAUUAAUUCGAUGCAACGCGUAGAACCUUACCUGGGUUUGACAUGGAUCGGGAGUGCUCAGAGAUGGGUGUGCCUCUUUUGGGGUCGGUUCACAGGUGGUGCAUGCCUGUCGUCAGCUCGUGUCGUGAGAUGUUGGGUUAAGUCCCGCAACGAGCGCAACCCUUGUUCACUGUUGCCAGCACGUUAUGGUGGGGACUCAGUGGAGACCGCCGGGGUCAACUCGGAGGAAGGUGGGGAUGACGUCAAGUCAUCAUGCCCCUUAUGUCCAGGGCUUCACGCAUGCUACAAUGGCUGGUACAGAGAGUGGCGAGCCUGUGAGGGUGAGCGAAUCUCGGAAAGCCGGUCUCAGUUCGGAUUGGGGUCUGCAACUCGACCUCAUGAAGUCGGAGUCGCUAGUAAUCGCAGAUCAGCAACGCUGCGGUGAAUACGUUCCCGGG